rnacentral:rRNA from 1 species
UACGUAGGGUGCAAGCGUUAAUCGGAAUUACUGGGCGUAAAGCGUGCGCAGGCGGUUUUGUAAGUCUGUCGUGAAAUCCCCGGGCUCAACCUGGGAAUUGCGAUGGAGACUGCAAGGCUAGAAUCUGGCAGAGGGGGGUAGAAUUCCACGUGUAGCAGUGAAAUGCGUAGAGAUCGGGAGGAACACCAGAGGCGAAGGCGGCAAACUGGAUGGGCACUGACACUCAACUGCGAAAGCGUGGGGAGCAAACAGG